GUCCUCGUAGCUCAGUUGGAUAGAGCGUCAGUUUGCGGAACUGAAGGCCGCAGGUUCAAAUCCUGCCGAGGACA
rnacentral:tRNA from 1 species